rnacentral:rRNA from 1 species
UACGUAGGGUGCAAGCGUUACUCGGAAUUACUGGGCGUAAAGCGUGCGCAGGCGGUUUUGUAAGACAGGUGUGAAAUCCCCGGGCUCAACCUGGGAAUUGCGUUGGAGACUGCAAGGCUGGAGUCUGGCAGAGGGGGGUAGAAUUCCACGUGUAGCAGUGAAAUGCGUAGAGAUGUGGAGGAACACCGAUGGCGAAGGCAGCCCCCUGGGUCAAGACUGACGCUCAUGCACGAAAGCGUGGGGAGCAAACAGG